GGCUGUAUUCAGAUAUAGGGCUUCUGUCCUAAUCCCAUUCAGCCUAUAACACAGCCCUUAGUACAUUAAUCCUAAUUAUAAAUUCUUUCACAAUCCUAAAAGCCAUGUCCUGAGUCUAAAUCUGAUGCUGGUUUUGUCUUUCAGACUUUUUGCUUUUAUUAUUAAAAGCCAGGUGAAGCCAAAAAGUAUAGAGGUGUUGUACAAGGCUGGCCCAAAGGUCUGAACUCUUCCCUUGUCCAUCUGAAGACACCUGCUGAGCACUUACAAUGUGGUUGUCCUUUUAGCUGCUUUGAGGUUUGUUGAGAACAAACUUUCUACAAGUCCUACUUCCUGUUAAGUUGGUCCCUGGUCACCACUCCUACUACAAGGGCAUGACUUCUGUGUGCAAGGACUGUUCCUGGAAGAAAGUUGUAUACAAAAAAGGAAAGAUUGAAAAAUUCCUUUCAUGGAACUGAUGGAUCUCUCCACUGGAAUUCCUUUAGGUAUUUUCAGUCAGCAUGAUGGGGCGGGAAGGUCCCCUGGAAAUCAACUCCUUUCAGGGGCUUCCAAGGUGAAAUCUGAAACCGGCCCCCAUAGGCAAAGGGAAGAGGCAAGACAGAAGAGGCAGGCCACUAAGUUGGUGGAUGGCGGCUUUCAUAAAGGGAAUUUCCACACAAGAUCCCCCACCCGCAAGGCUGGAGUGUACAACUGUAGAUGUGCCCUGUUCUCAGGGCCUUAUGGUUAGUGUGGGUGUCUUCAAGAACCAGAAUCUGUCUCCUGUGCCUAAGUGUAGUCAGAGGAGGGGCUAUCAGCCUCCCAGUCUGGCUCUCGGUUUUAGUGGUCAAUUUGCAGGAAUGGUUACAUAUCCCAGUUCAAAAGCUGAAUAGAAGAUGCCUGGAAGUUGGAUCUAGGCAUCUUCAAUGAGGAUUUUUUUUUUUUUGGGAGGGCCAGCCAAGAAACCAAGAUUAGUUUUGGGUCAUGGUUGGGCUUCCUGUAGGGAAGCUCCUAGUA